rnacentral:rRNA from 1 species
GGAUGAAAUAUUGGUCAAUGGACGCAAGUCUGAACCAGCCAUGCCGCGUGCAGGAAGAAGGUGCUAUGCAUUGUAAACUGCUUUUAUACGGGGGUAAUUACAGAUACGUGUAUCUGGUUGAAAGUACCGUAUGAAUAAGGAUCGGCUAACUCCGUGCCAGCAGCCGCGGUAAUACGGAGGAUCCGAGCGUUAUCCGGAUUUAUUGGGUUUAAAGGGUGCGUAGGCGGUCAGGUAAGUUAGAGGUGAAAGCUCGAUGCUCAACAUCGAAACUGCCUCUGAUACUGUCUGACUAGAGUGUAGUUGCGGAAGGCGGAAUGUGUGGUGUAGCGGUGAAAUGCUUAGAUAUCACACAGAACACCGAUUGCGAAGGCAGCUUUCCAAGCUAUUACUGACGCUGAGGCACGAAAGCGUGGGGAGCGAACAGGAUUAGAUACC